AAAAUGACUCUCGGCAACGGAUAUCUCGGCUCUCGCAUCGAUGAAGAACGUAGCGAAAUGCGAUACUUGGUGUGAAUUGCAGAAUCCCGUGAACCAUCGAGUCUUUGAACGCAAGUUGCGCCCGACGCCUCCCGGCUGAGGGCACGCCUGCCUGGGUGUCAUGC
rnacentral:rRNA from 1 species